GGCAGGAAACGGUGAGCUGCACUGGCCCCAGUGCCUGGAGGCUGCAGCUGGGAGCUGGGAGCCAGGAGCCUGAGACAUGAACAAGAUCUUCCCCCAGGGGGAUGUCAAUGGCGUUGCUGCUGCUGGAACCAAAGCCCUCCCUGGAGGGGAAGCAGGCUGCAGCCCCUGCUGCUGCUCCCGCCAAGGGGCCUGCCUGUCGGCCUUUGUGCUGCUCCUGCUGGCAACUCUUGCGGCCCUGAUCGCGCUGGUCACCAUCCUUGGACACCCACCACGUGCACCAGGGGCCCAGGCCUGUGUGACGCUGACGAACAGGACAGGCUUCCUGUGCCAUGACCGGAGCAGCUGCAUCUUGGCCAGCGGGGUCUGUGAUGGCAUCCGCACCUGUCCCCACGGCGAGGAUGAGGACGAGGCCUUGUGCCGAGAUGUGCCCCAGAGCCUCCCUAGUUUCCUUGUGGCCCGCUGUGGAGACCCGGCUUCCUGGAUCUACUCAGACCAUAAGUGUGAUGGGACCAACAACUGCGGGGACUGCUCAGAUGAACUGAGUCCAGUGACUGCAUGCCCACCCUGUGGCCCUGGCUGGUGGCGCUGCCCCUCAACUGUCUUCCAGUAUUGUGGCUGUAUCCCAAGGAGCCUCUGCCGGGACCACGUGCAGCACUGCUCCGACUGGUCGGAUGAGUACGGCUGUCCUGGACCCUGAGUGGGCACCCAGACCGGAGCGGGAGGCUGUUUGGAAUGGCACUGAUAACCCUUUAUAUGAGAAUCAAAUCCAAGAACAUGAGGGCAAGAAGGAGUCUUCAAGAUCGUCUGAUGAGAUCUAUGCACUGUCAUCUCUGAAUAAGAAUUCUCUCCUGCAUUAAGAUGCCCAGCUUCUCCUUGAAUGCAUCCAGUGACAGGGAGCUCACUACCAUGUUAGGCAGCUCCUAACAAGGAUGAGGGGAAUCUGCCUCCAUGAUUUUAGGUCUGCCUCUGGGGCCCCACAGAGAAAACCUGCUCCUCUGCUCCAAGACAAGCUUGCGGAUCCUGACCUUAUCACCCCAUGGAACAAAGAUAAGUCUGGGACUCAAACACCAAGUUGAGGAGCUUAGCCCUUAGGGAUGGUACAUAUGGGAAGUGUAUGCCACUUCCCGUCCAUUUGGUCCCUAAGGCAGGUCUUGCUGGGCUAGGCUGCAGUCUUAGCAUUUUUCUCAUCUCAGUAACCCUAGCAGGUCCUACUGACUGAUCACAUGAGAUUACACCUGAGACAGGGCAUUUGUCAUCCUGCCAAUGGGAAGCCAUCCAGGAGGCUCUGAGCUGUAGAGUAGAAGGUCUGGAGAAAGCAGCACUUCUGUCUGUCCCAUUCUCUACCCUAUCACUCCCCACCCUCUACCCCAUGACCAGUGCCCAGCCAAACAGCCCAGGUUUCUUGUAGUAUGAAUUGUAUGUUGUUGGUUCCAAAGUCUGAGCGAAUGAGCUAUUUCUCUGCAUACUUUUCUAGCUUCACAACACCCAGACAGCCAAGGAUGGAUGUCCGCCUUAAACAAAUGAGAAAACUGAGGCUCAGAGGGAGAAAUGACUUGCCCAGGAUCAUACAGCACAGUCAGUGCUGGAACUGGGACUCACACACAGUCUAUGAUAUCCCAACCCUGAACCUUUCCUGCUAUCAAUGUGAUUAUAUUUUGGCAGAGUGGGGAGGGGGGCGUGCAGAGUCCCUGUGGGGUAUUUUUUAAAGUAGAUUGAGGGUCAGAAAGUGUCCCACCCUUAUUCUGAAAGAGAGACUUGGAAUUUGGCCAACAAGAGUGUUGCUGUUGAGGGACAGAGACAUAUCCGCAUUGGAAAUUAAAUAAAAUCAGUUAUAUAUAUAUCAGUCUCGUGUGAGUUUUGAACUGAAAAUGGGCAACUAAGAGACAGGUGAGCCCUGAUUCAUUCAUCACUCACUAAACAGUCUCUUUGUACCUGCUUUGAGCCAAGCCAGGUGCUGGGCACCCAGGAGUGAAGAGACCUGGGUCCCAGCAUACGAGGAAUGCAGGGUCUCAUAAAGGAGGCACCUCACACUGUGGAGAUGGGUGGGACAACAGGAGUGCACCAAAGAGGGGCCUCUGGAAGCCAGUACACAAUCGUGUUUCUGACCCUCAUGACCUGAAGACAAGCUCCUGGAACAGGGCUCCUCAGGGAUCCUGCCCGAGGGACAGUCAGCCCUGGAUGCUAGCACCUUUGGCUGAGUUUCUGUCCAACUGCAGCAAAAGCAAGGAGCUGCGGGCAUGCUAAGGGCAUCCUGGGUUCUGGUGACUGAUCCAAGGGAGCCUCCUUCCCAGAGGAGGGGCAUUUGGGCUGGCUCUGGAGGACGUCCAAUAGUACAGGCAGAGGAGAAGGGCAUUCCUGGAGAAAGGCCAUUGAAACGAAGGCACGGGGGUGUGACAGGGUACAGUUCAGCCAGGGAAUGCCAGUGUGGUUCAGGCCAGGGUAGCCAAAGCUUCGACGGGAGGGGACAGUAGUAGGUGACCAGUGACAGGAUCCUGGAGGGCAUAGCGUGUCACACUCAUCCUAAGGAUAGUGGGUGUCAUCAGGGCAUGAUAAACAAGGACAGUAUCUGGAGCUACAAUGAACUUUAAUUACAAUAGUCCAAGCAAAAGAUGCCAGAGCUUGGACCAAGUGGGAAGAGAAGGGGGAUGAUUAAGGGCUACUUACUGGUGGAAUACACGGGCCUUAGGGCUCUGCAGAGCGGGGGUCAGGGGGAGAAGAGGAAGACAGAGGAGUCCGGAGGCCUGAAAAGGAGCACCUGACCUCCUGCCCUGGGCCAUGCCUUCUCUAACAGGACGCCGGUCUCCAGGGGAAGAGAGAGGGUUGACCUGGCUCCCGGGGAACAAGAAAAAGUCCAGAAGCUCAUUCCGGUGCUCAAAUGCCAACAUGUUGCUGACGUCCUGAACAUCAGCUGUUGAAAACAAGAAAGCAGAUGCGGUAGCAAACUCCCCAACAGCAUUCCAUAAACUGGGUCCAGAAAGACACAGAGCCCAGGGCAGCCAGCCAGCGUGGUCCCCUGGUUCACAUCAGCAGAGCAGGGGAUUUAGUGCCACAGUCUGUAGCGAGAACCCAGCAGCCUGAGUCAAUAUUUGCCAUCUCCCAGCCUCCACCGCCCGGCUCCAAGAUCCAAGAUCAGUACUUUAAGUCCGACAGGUUCUUUGCUGUGCAAACAUGAAGGGAUAGAUGGAUGGAAUUUAAAGUGGCUCAGCCUACGUCCCAGGAUUUGGACUGGAAAUUUGGUUUGGUUUAACCCUCUGGCAUCACUGUUUGCCUGGGACUCUCCAUUCAUCCUUAGACUCACGAAACCACAGACAUCAGAGCUGGGGAGGAGCUCAGAACCCAGCCCGGCUUUUGACAAGAGGACACAGCUUCCCAAAGAGGGAAGGGGCCAGCCUAAAGUGACACUGCCUGGUGGCUGCCACUGGGAUUCUGAGGGCCACCCAGUAACUCCAGGUCAAGGUAGAAUCAAUUUCUCUGAGACCUUUAAAAAAAUUUUUUUUAAGUGAGAUAUAAUUUACAUACAAUGAAAUACACAGAUCUUAAGUAUACAGUUCAAUGAGUUUUUAAAAACAGCUUAAUGGAAGUAUAAUUGACCUACAAUAAGCUACACAUAUUUAAAAUGUACACUUUCAUAAAUUUUGCCAUAUGUAUAUACUCAUGAAACUAUCACAAUUAAGAUAAUAAAUGUGUCCAUCACUCUCAGGUAUCCUUGUGCCCCUUGGUAAUCCUUGUGCCGUUUGGUAAUCGCUUCUCCUCGUCUUCACCUCCAUACACAGGCAACCACAGAUUUAUUUUCCAUCAGUAUUGAGUAAUUUGUACUUUUCUAGAAUGUUAUGUAAAUGGAAUCAUACAGUAUAUACUUUUGUGUGUGUGUGUGUGUGUCUGUCUGGCCUCUUUCACUCAGAAGACCUACUAUGAGAUUUAUCCAUGUUGUAGCAUGCCCAAUAGUCAUUCUUUUUGUUGGUGAGUAGUAUUUUGUUGUAUGGAUAUGCCAUAAUUUGUGCAUUUCAGGGUGCAGAGAUGCACUCUUCACUUACCCAUUCAUUUGUUAAUGGAUUUUGGGUUAUCCCCAGUUUUGGCUAUUACAAAUAAAGCUGUUAUAAACAUUUAUGUACAAUUCUUUAAUGCAUGUAUGCUUUCAUUUAUAUUGGGGGAGUGGAAGGGCUGUAUUUGGUAGGUGUAUGUUUAACUUUUUAUGAAACCGCCUGUAUUCCAAAGUGGUUGUAUCAUUUUACGUUCCUGCCAUUAGAAUAUGGCAAGCUCUGUAUGCUUGCCAACAUUUGGUAUGGUCAGCCUUUUCAAUUUUCACUAUUCUAACAGGUGUGUUGUAGCAUCUUAUCGCAGUUUUACUUUGCAUUUCCCUAAUGAUUAAUGAUGUUGAUCAUCUUUUCAUGUGCUUUUUUACCAUCCAUGAAUCUUCCUUGGUGAAAACCAUCCAUGUAUCUUCCUUGGUGAAGGGUAUG